rnacentral:rRNA from 1 species
UAGGGAAUCUUCGGCAAUGGACGAAAGUCUGACCGAGCAACGCCGCGUGAGUGAAGAAGGUUUUCGGAUCGUAAAACUCUGUUGGUAGAGAAGAACGUUGGUGAGAGUGGAAAGCUCAUCAAGUGACGGUAACUACCCAGAAAGGGUCGGCUAACUACGUGCCAC